AGAGUUUGAUCAUGGCUCAGGACGAACGCUGGCGGCGUGCUUAACACAUGCAAGUCGAACGAGAAUCUGUGGAAAGAGGAUUCGUCCAAUUGAAGCAGAGGACAGUGGCGGACGGGUGAGUAACGCGUGAGGAACCUGCCUUUCAGAGGGGGACAACAGUUGGAAACGACUGCUAAUACCGCAUGACAUAUAGAUGUCGCAUGGCAUUUAUAUCAAAGAUUUAUCGCUGAAAGAUGGCCUCGCGUCUGAUUAGCUAGUUGGUGAGGUAACGGCCCACCAAGGCGACGAUCAGUAGCCGGACUGAGAGGUUGAACGGCCACAUUGGGACUGAGAUACGGCCCAGACUCCUACGGGAGGCAGCAGUGGGGAAUAUUGGGCAAUGGGCGCAAGCCUGACCCAGCAACGCCGCGUGAAGGAAGAAGGCUUUCGGGUUGUAAACUUCUUUUGUCAGGGACGAGUAGAAGACGGUACCUGACGAAUAAGCCACGGCUAACUACGUGCCAGCAGCCGCGGUAAUACGUAGGUGGCAAGCGUUGUCCGGAUUUACUGGGUGUAAAGGGCGUGUAGCCGGGAGGGCAAGUCAGAUGUGAAAUCCACGGGCUCAACUCGUGAACUGCAUUUGAAACUACUCUUCUUGAGUAUCGGAGAGGCAAUCGGAAUUCCUAGUGUAGCGGUGAAAUGCGUAGAUAUUAGGAGGAACACCAGUGGCGAAGGCGGAUUGCUGGACGACAACUGACGGUGAGGCGCGAAAGCGUGGGGAGCAAACAGGAUUAGAUACCCUGGUAGUCCACGCUGUAAACGAUGAAUACUAGGUGUGCGGGGACUGACCCCCUGCGUGCCGCAGCUAACGCAAUAAGUAUUCCACCUGGGGAGUACGAUCGCAAGGUUGAAACUCAAAGGAAUUGACGGGGGCCCGCACAAGCGGUGGAUUAUGUGGUUUAAUUCGAAGCAACGCGAAGAACCUUACCAGGGCUUGACAUCCUACUAACGAGAUAGAGAUAUGUUAGGUGCCCUUCGGGGAAAGUAGAGACAGGUGGUGCAUGGUUGUCGUCAGCUCGUGUCGUGAGAUGUUGGGUUAAGUCCCGCAACGAGCGCAACCCCUAUCUUUAGUAGCCAGCGGUUUGGCCGGGCACUCUAGAGAGACUGCCAGGGAUAACCUGGAGGAAGGUGGGGAUGACGUCAAAUCAUCAUGCCCCUUAUGAGCAGGGCUACACACGUGCUACAAUGGCGUAAACAAAGGGAGGCAGAACCGCGAGGUCGAGCAAAUCCCAAAAAUAACGUCUCAGUUCGGAUUGUAGUCUGCAACUCGACUACAUGAAGCUGGAAUCGCUAGUAAUCGCGAAUCAGAAUGUCGCGGUGAAUACGUUCCCGGGUCUUGUACACACCGCCCGUCACACCAUGGGAGUCAGUAACGCCCGAAGUCAGUGACCCAACCGCAAGGAGGGAGCUGCCGAAGGUGGGACCGAUAACUGGGGUGAAGUCGUAACAAGGUA
rnacentral:rRNA from 1 species